rnacentral:rRNA from 1 species
AUUGAACGCUGGCGGCAGGCCUAACACAUGCAAGUCGAGCGAGCGGCGGACGGGUGAGUAAUGUAUGGGGACUGCCCGAUAGAGGGGGAUAACUACUGGAAACGGUAGCUAAUACCGCAUACUAUCGGAUAACCCAUAUGGGAUUAGCUAGUAGGUGGGGUAAGGGCUCACCUAGGCGACGAUCCCUAGCUGGUCUGAGAGGAUGACCAGCCCCAGUGGAACUGAGACACGGUCCAUACUCCUACGGAGGCAGCAGUGGGGAAUAUUGCACAAUGGGCGCAAGCCUGAUGCAGCCAUGCCGCGUGUAUGAAGAAGGCCUUCGGGUUGUAAAGUACUUUCAGCGGGGAGGCGGUACCCGCAGAAGAAGCACCGGCUAACUCCGUGCCAGCAGCCGCGGUAAUUC